AUUGAACGCUGGCGGCAGGCUUAACACAUGCAAGUCGAACGAGUGGCGGACGGGUGAGUAAUGUCUGGGAAACUGCCUUAUGGAGGGGGAUAACUACUGGAAACGGUAGCUAAUACCGCGUACCAUCAGAUGAGCCCAAGUGGGAUUAGGUAGUUGGUGGGGUAACGGCUCACCAAGCCGACGAUCCCUAGCUGGUCUGAGAGGAUGACCAGCCACACUGGGACUGAGACACGGCCCAGACUCCUACGGGAGGCAGCAGUGGGGAAUAUUGCGCAAUGGGGGCAACCCUGACGCAGCCAUGCCGCGUGAAUGAAGAAGGCCUUCGGGUUGUAAAGUACUUUCGGUAGCGAGGCGUUAACUACAGAAGAAGCACCGGCUAACUCCGUGCCAGCAGCCGCGGUAAUAC
rnacentral:rRNA from 1 species